GCACCAGUAGCUCAAUGGAUAGAGCAACGGUCUUCGGAACCGUUUGUUGGGGGUUCGAAUCCUCUCUGGUGCGCCA
rnacentral:tRNA from 1 species